UCUGCAAAUGCAGGAUCUAAACACUGCAGAAAAUUCUGCCUUUUUUGUUCCCAAGACUCCUGAUUUGGUCUGCCAAAGCUAGUCACCAGCCUGGCAGCUGAUAAAGAACAGGCUGCUGUUCUCUCUGCAUUCCUUGAAAUGGAUGCUGAAAACAUAAGGGCCACUUUUCAAACUAAUGUCAGUGCUGAAAGAUUGAGUUAGGAAUUUCUCAAGUCCAUCUAUAAACAUUUCAUAUCAUGUUGCAUUUGUAUGACGUAUAGCAGCAGAAAUCCUUUUUGUUUCUCCUGUGAAUUGGGAGGGCAGGUUUAGAAAACAAACAACCCAAAAAGUAAAUUCGAAAGAUGUUCACACUCCUCUGUUUAAGCCUGUGGUGAACAUCUUAAGUUUGGUGUGGAAAUAAAAAUACCCGGUAUGUCUCUUCAGUCCCAGGCAAAGUGCUGGAGCUCAGGGGAGAGAAGAGCUUACAACCUAUCUACCCAUCUCUGCAGUGGGUAGCAUCUGAGGCAGCUUCCUACACACCCGCCUUUUGAAGCACUUAACUUGCUCCAUGCUCCUUGUGAGAAGCCACAGGUUGCAGCCAGACCACCCACCAGCGCUAUCACACUUGGUUGUCAUGUGGCUGCUUGAAAGAGCUGUGAAAAGAGCCAACCCAGCUGCUCUCCCGUCCCCCACAGCCAGCUGGCUGGAGAGGUGGACUGGGAGAAGAAAUUGCAUGUUUUGCAUGGAACAAUGACAGCAGCCAGCCCAAGGCAGCCAUGGGCUUUUCUCUGCAGUAACUCAGCAAAAGCCACCUGUAGCUGAGUGGGAGAGAGGGCAGGAGACCCCUGCAUGUUGCAAGAGGAAAGCUGAGAUCUGACAAGGUGCUGUGCACCCAUAGCAAACCGUGGCUGUUGAAUGUGAGGGAAGGUGACCCUUCUGGUCCAUACCACAACAGGGUUGGGAGAGUCUUGCAGAACAGACCUUGCUACUUCAGUGAAGCAGUUGGACCUCAUCGUAAGACAAUGUCUUGUCUCCAGACAAAGUUCACUUGCCUCUGUUAGAGAAUUGGUUGACAGAUUGUGUCUGGCUCUCUCCCCUUUCUCUUAAGGACCUUGGGAAUGCCCUUACACUUUGCUGUCUGUCAGUCUGCCUGUCAGGUCCCUGCAUCUAUUACUGAACCUGAGUUAUAUUAAAUAUAGACUAGGUGAUCCUAAUAGCCUUUUCUGGCCCUAGUAUCUAUGAAAUGUAUUAACCUCUGUUAGAUGAAAUAAUAUGUCCUGGACUAAUGCCAUAAUGACUAUUUCUUUAAGUAUUUUAAUACAUAAAGCUGUUGGUCUUUCACACUUUUAUUCCA